UGGCUCAGAACGAACGCUGGCGGCAUGCCUUACACAUGCAAGUCGAACGGCAGCAUGGAGGAGCUUGCUCCUCUGAUGGCGAGUGGCGAACGGGUGAGUAAAGCAUCGGAACGUGCCGUGUAGUGGGGGAUAACGUAGCGAAAGUUACGCUAAUACCGCAUACGCACAGAGGUGGAAAGCAGGGGAUCGCAAGACCUUGCGCUAUACGAGCGGCCGAUGUCAGAUUAGCUAGUUGGUAGGGUAAAGGCCUACCGAGGAGACGAUCUGUAGCGGGUCUGAGAGGAUGAUCCGCCACA
rnacentral:rRNA from 1 species